ensembl:lncRNA novel transcript
AUUGUGUAUUUCCAGGAAUUUAUAUAUUUUCUCUAGAUUCUAGCAUGUGUGUAUAGAGGUAUUUCUAGUAGUCUCUGAGGAUCUUUGUAUUUCUGUGGGAUCAGCUGUAAUGUCACCUUUGUCAUUUCUGAUUGUGCUUAUUUGGAUCUUCUCUCUUUUUUUCUUUUUUAAUCUAGCUAGUAGUUUAUCAAUCUUUUUUUUCCUUUCAGAAAACUAACUUUUGAUUUCAUUGAUUCUUUGUAUGGAUUUUGGGGUUUCAAUUUUGUUCAUUUCUGCUCUGAUUUUAGUUAUUUAUUUUAUUCUGCUAGCUUUGGGGUUAGUUUGUUCUUCUUUAGUUUCUUUAGGUGUGAUGUUAAAUCAUUAAUUUGAAAUCUUCUAACUUUCUGAGGUCAGCAUUUAGCACUAUAAACUUUCCUCUUAACACUGCUUUUGCUGCAUCCCAGAGAUUUUGGUAUGUUCUGUUUCUUUUUUCAUUUAUUUCAAAUAAUUUUUUUAUUCCUGCCUCAAUAUUAUUGUUUACCCAAAAGUCAUUUGAGAGGAAGUUGUUUGAUAUCCAUGCAAUUGUGUAGUUUUGAGAGAUCUUCUUGGUAUUGAUUUCUAUUUUUAUUCCACUGUAGUCCAAGAAUAAGGCUGAUUUGGUUUUGAUUUUUUUGAAUUUAUUGAGACUUGUUUUGUGGCUGAGCAUGUGGUUGAUAUUGGAAUAUAUUCCAUGUUCAGAUGAGAGAAACAUGCAUUUUGUAGUUGAUGAAUAGAAUAAUCUGUAGAUGUCUAUCAGCUUCAGCUGAUAAAGAGUUGAAUUUAAAUCCGGAAUUUCUUUGUUAGUUUUCUGCCUUGAUGAUAUAUCUAACACUUUCAGUGGGGUGUUGAAGUCCCCUAGUAUUAUUGUAUGGCUGUGUAAGUCUUUUUUUAUGUCUAGAAUUAUUUUUUUUAUGAAUCUGUGUGCUCAAAUAUUGGGUGCACAUAUAUUUAGGAUAGUUAAGUCUUCCUGUUAAAUUGAAUCCUUUAUCAUUAUGCAAUGCCCUUCUUUGUCCCCCCCCCCCCCCCCACAUUUUUUGGUACUGUUUUUUGUUUUAAAAUCUGUUUUAUCUGAUAUAAGAAUAGUAAUACCUGAUCUUUUUUGUUUUCUGUUUGCACAAUAGAUCUUUCUCCAAUUCUUUACUUUGAGCCAAUGGGUGUCCAUUACAUAUGAGAUGAGUCUCUUGAAGACAGCAGAUUAAUGAGUUUGUUUGUUUUUUUUUUCAAUCCAGCUUGCCACUCUGUGCCUUUUAAGUGGGGCAUUUAGACCAUUUAUAUUCAAGGUUAAUAUUGGCAUGUGAGGUUUUGAUCCUAUUAUGAAGUUGUUGGCUGGUUGUGUUUUAGUUUCUAUUGUGUGAUUAGCUUACAGGAUUUGUAGGCUAUGAACAUAAGUGUGUUUUUGUAGUAGCAGGUAUCGUUCUUUCAUUUCUAUGUUUAGAACUCCCUUAAGGAUCUCUUGUAAGGCUGCCCUAGUGGUAACAAAUUUCCUUAGCCCUUCCUUGUCUGGCAAAAAUUUUAUUUUCCCUCUGUUUAUGAAGUUUAGUUUGGUGGGAUAUGAAAUUCUUGUUUGGAACUUCUUUUCUUUGAGAAUGCUGAAAAUAGGUCCCCAAUCUCUUCUGCUUGUAAGGUUUCUGCUGAGAUGUCCACAGUUUACCUGAUGGAGUUUCCUUUGUAUGUGAUCUGACCUUUUUGUCUAGCUGCAUUUAAGAUUUUUUCUUUAGCGUUGACCUUAGACAGGCUGGUGAAUGUAUACCUUGGCGAUAUUUGCUUUGCACCGUGUCUUGCAGGUGUUCUCUGGAUUUCUUGUGUCUGGAUGUCUACCUCUCUAACAAGAUUAGGGAAAUUUUCUUGAAUUAUUCCCUCAAAUAUGUUUUCCCAUUUGUUUACUUUUUCUCCUCCUCUCUAAGGAAUGCCAAUAAUUCAUAGGUUUGGUCACUUUACAUAAUCCUGUAUUUCUGGUAGACUUUGUUCAUUGUUUAAAAUUCUUUUUGCUUCAUUUUUGUCUGACUGGAAUAGUUCAAAAACCAAGUUUUCAGAUCUGAAAUUCUUUCUUCUGCUUGGUUCAGUCUAUUGGUAAAACUUUCAACUGUAUUUUGAAAUUCCUUAAAUGAGUAUUUCAAUUCCAGAAGCUCUGAUUGAUUUCUUUUUAAGAUGUUUAUCUCUUCCUUCAUUUCCUGAAUUGCUUUAGAAGUUUCUUUGUGGUGUCUUGGAUCUCAUUGAGCUUCCUUGAAAUCCAUGCUUUGAAUUCUUUAUCUUUUAUUUCCAUCAUCACUACUUAGGAGCCAUCUCAGGUACUAUUUCUUCAGCUUAUUUGUCUGGUCAGCAUGUCUACUUGCAGGGGCUUCCCAGCAGUUCUAAACAAUAGAGACCAUUUCCUUUGAAAAUCAGCACUUUAUUAAUGUGCUGUGCUUGUGUCAGAAGAAAAAGGAAACUUUUUUAUGACAGGGAGAGAAAAGUAAAGUUUGCGGGAAAAGAAAAUACCAAAAGUCAAGAUGCUGAAACUAGAACCUCAUCUGCAUCAGGGCCACACAUCACAGCUUCCUCUAGUUUGGUUCCAUGUCCUGGUGUUCAUUAGAUCACAGAACCUCAGAGUAGGAUGAGCUAUUGAAGAUUUCUCAAUGUUGCACCCUUCCCUCUCACACCCUGAUGACCUGGUAAAUAUUUCUAAUCCCCUCACUUUUCUCUUACAUCGUAUGGCAGGAAGCAGAGUGAUGUAGUAGAAAGACUAUGGGCUUUGGAAUCAAAUUGAUCUGGGAUUGAAUUCCAUUUCUGCUAUUCUGAACUCUAUAAUAUUGGGCAAGUUGCCCAUUUCUGUCUCAGUUUCUUUAUUAGGAAAAUAAAGAUAGUAAUAGCUACAUUUUAGGGCUUUUGUCAAGAAUAAAUGGCAAAAUUACCAA